rnacentral:rRNA from 1 species
UACGAAGGGGGCGAGCGUUGUUCGGAUUUACUGGGCGUAAAGGGCGCGCAGGCGGCUCAUUUUGUCAGGCGUGAAAGCCCCGGGCUUAACCUGGGAGGUGCGUUUGAUACGGAUGGGCUAAGGUUCGGGAGAGGAGAGUGGAAUUCCCAGUGUAGAGGUGAAAUUCGUAGAUAUUGGGAAGAACACCGGUGGCGAAGGCGGCUCUCUGGACCGAGACUGACGCUGAGGCGCGAAAGCGUGGGGAGCAAACAGG